rnacentral:misc_RNA from 1 species
GAUGAAGAACGCAUCGAAAUGCGAUAAGUAGUGUGAAUUGCAGAAUUCAGUGAAUCAUCGAAUCUUUGAACGCACAUUGCGCCCCUUGGUAUUCCAUGGGGCAUGCCUGUUCGAGCGUCAUUUGUACCUUCAAGCUUUGCUUGGUGUUGGGUGUUUGUCUCGCCUUUGCGUGUAGACUCGCCUUAAAAUAAUUGGCAGCCGGCGUAUUGAUUUCGGAGCGCAGUACAUCUCGCGCUUUGCACUCAUAACGACAGCGUCCAAAAGUACAUUUUACACUCUUGACCUCGGAUCAGGUAGGGAUACCCGCUGAACUUAAGCAUAUCAAUAAGCGGAGGA